rnacentral:rRNA from 1 species
CACGUAGGCACCAAGCGUUGUCCGGAUUUAUUGGGCGUAAAGAGCUCGUAGGCGGCUUGUUGCGUCGACUGUGAAAACCUGCGGCUCAACCGUGUGGUCUGCAGUCGAUACGGGCAGGCUGGAGUUCGGUAGGGGAGACUGGAAUUCCUGGUGUAGCGGUGAAAUGCGCAGAUAUCAGGAGGAACACCGGUGGUGUAGACGGCUCUCUGGACCGUAACUGACGCUGAGACACGAAAGCGUGGGUAGCAAACAGG